CACGUAGGCACCAAGCGUUGUCCGGAUUUAUUGGGCGUAAAGAGCUCGUAGGCGGUUGAGUAAGUCGGGUGUGAAAACUCUGGGCUUAACCCAGAGCCGCCACCCGAUACUGCUCUGACUUGAGUUCGGUAGGGGAGCAGGGAAUUCCUAGUGUAGCGGUGAAAUGCGCAGAUAUUAGGAGGAACACCGGUGGCGAAGGCGGGUCUCUGGGCCGAUAUUGACGCUGAGGAGCGAAAGCGUGGGGAGCGAACAGG
rnacentral:rRNA from 1 species